GAUGAACGCUGGCGGCGUGCCUAAUACAUGCAAGUCGAGCGAACAGACGAGGAGCUUGCUCCUCUGACGUUAGCGGCGGACGGGUGAGUAACACGUGGAUAACCUACCUAUAAGACUGGGAUAACUUCGGGAAACCGGAGCUAAUACCGGAUAAUAUAUUGAACCGCAUGGUUCAAUAGUGAAAGACGGUUUUGCUGUCACUUAUAGAUGGAUCCGCGCCGCAUUAGCUAGUUGGUAAGGUAACGGCUUACCAAGGCAACGAUGCGUAGCCGACCUGAGAGGGUGAUCGGCCACACUGGAACUGAGACACGGUCCAGACUCCUACGGGAGGCAGCAGUAGGGAAUCUUCCGCAAUGGGCGAAAGCCUGACGGAGCAACGCCGCGUGAGUGAUGAAGGUCUUCGGAUCGUAAAACUCUGUUGUUAGGGAAGAAAAAAUGUGUAAGUAACUAUGCACGUCUUGACGGUACCUAAUCAGAAAGCCACGGCUAACUACGUG
rnacentral:rRNA from 1 species